CCUUAAACCCUAGAGCUCCGCAAUUUUCCCUUGUGUUUCAGCUAAACACCAUUCAGCCGCCUUGGAUAACCUCCUCUGCUGCGACUGCUGAGCGCCCCACCUCUGCUCUUCCGCUGCCGACGAUCGUCCUUCCCUCCUCCGGUAUUGGUUCGAGGGUAAAAUAUAAAUCAUAAAUAUGGUGCAAUACAAUUUCAAGAAGAUUACUAUAGUUCCCAAUGGGAAGGAGUUCAUCGAUAUCAUCUUAUCUCGCACACAACGUCAAACACCUACCGUAGUUCACAAGGGCUAUGCCAUUUCCCGCCUCCGUCAGUUCUACAUGCGGAAAGUGAAGUAUACCCAACAAAAUUUUCAUGAAAAGCUUUCUACCAUCAUUGAGGAGUUCCCCCGGCUAGAUGAUAUCCAUCCAUUCUACGGAGACCUGCUUCAUGUCCUCUACAACAAAGACCACUACAAGCUUGCUCUUGGUCAAAUCAAUACUGCUAGGAACCUUAUUGGUAAAAUUGCUAAGGACUAUGUGAAAUUGUUGAAGUAUGGUGACUCACUUUAUCGCUGCAAGUGUUUGAAGGUUGCUGCUCUUGGCCGUAUGUGUACUCUAAUAAAGCGUAUUGGUCCUAGUUUGGCUUAUCUAGAACAGAUCAGACAGCACAUGGCUCGGCUACCUUCAAUUGACCCAAAUACACGAACAAUUUUAAUAUGUGGGUACCCCAAUGUCGGAAAGAGCUCAUUCAUUAACAAGAUCACAAGGGCUGAUGUGGAUGUUCAGCCCUAUGCUUUUACGACUAAAUCACUCUUUGUUGGUCAUACUGACUACAAGUACCUAAGGUACCAAGUGAUUGAUACACCAGGGAUUUUGGACCGGCCAUUUGAAGAUCGUAACAUUAUCGAGAUGUGCAGUAUUACGGCUCUGGCACACCUACGAGCUGCAGUGUUAUUCUUCAUGGACAUCUCAGGAUCAUGUGGAUAUAGCAUUGCUCAACAGGCUGCUCUUUUCCACAGUAUCAAGUCUCUUUUUAUGAACAAGCCACUGAUUAUAGUGUGCAAUAAGACUGACUUGCAGCCAUUGGAUGGAAUCCCUGAGGAUGACAUGAAAUUGGUCAUGGAGAUGAAAUCUGAAGCUAUGAAGACUGUUAUAGGUCAAGGAGGUGAGCUUGCAAGCGAUGAGGGGGUGCUCUUGACCAUGAGCACUUUGACUGAGGACGGGGUCAUUGCAGUCAAGAAUUCAGCUUGUGAGAGGUUACUGAACCAAAGGGUGGAGCUUAAGAUGAAGUCUAAGAAGAUAAAUGACUGCUUGAAUCGUUUUCAUAUUGCAGUGCCUAAGCCACGUGAUCAAAAGGAAAGGCCACCCUGCAUACCCCAGGCAGUUUUGGAAGCUAAAGCUAAGCAAGCUGCAGAGAAGGAGAAAAGGAGGCUUGAAAGGGACUUGGAGAAUGAUAAUGGCGGUGCUGGUGUGUACUCUGCUAGUUUGAAGAAGCAUUAUAUCUUAGCUGAUAAUGAAUGGAAAGAGGACAUAAUGCCUGAAAUACUUGAUGGACAUAACGUGUAUGACUUUGUUGAUCCUGAUGUAUUGCUAAGGCUUGAAGAAUUGGAACGUGAAGAUGGACUUAGACAAGAGGAGGAGGCAUAUGAUGAUUUUGAGAUGGAUGGUCAAGAAUUAACCCCAGAAGAGAAGGAAGCAUUGGCUGAGAUUAGGAAAAAGAAAAGCUUGCUCAUUCAGCAACACAGGAUUAAGAAAAGCACCGCUGAGAGUCGGCCAAUUGUACCAAGAAAAUUUAACAAGGAUGGGGAGCUCUCAACGGAAAGAAUGGGGAGGCAACUAUCAGCUUUGGGGCUGGAUCCUACCUUGGCAAUUAAUCGAGCCCGCAGCAGGUCUGUCUCUAGUAGGGGCCGUAAGAGGGAGAGGUCUCUUAACCAUGAAAAUGGUCAUGCUAUGGACGUGGAUAUUGAUCAGCCAAACAAAAAGUUGCGUGUGAGGUCUAGAUCAGUGUCCAGGUCGAGAUCACGACCACCCAAUGAAGUUGCCCCUGGGGAGGGCUUUAAGGACUCUGCUCAAAAAUCAAAAGCUCUGAAAAUUGCCAAGAAAUCUGUUAAGAAGAGAAACAAGAAUGCACGUCGCGGGGAGGCAGAUAGGGUUAUUCCAAAUCUGAAACCAAAGCACUUGUUUUCUGGGAAGCGUUCCAUUGGAAAAACCAGUAGAAGAUGAUAUGUUCAAGGUAUCUGACUGCUUUACCAUUUCAUCAUUCUUUAUCUUUUCUUGAACUUCUUUCUCUGACCUUUUUGGUUAAGCGCAUUUGAAGAGAAUUUUUAUGUUGCUUAAAUAUAUGCUAACAUAUACAUUUACUUAUUUGUCCGUGGAUGUAUUUUUUUUUCCUUAUUCUGUAUUUUGGUGAGCUGGGGUAGGUUUAUAUUGGGGUGGGAUUAGUACACUCUGAUUAUUUGUACAAAGGCCAUUUUACCUUUGAAUUGUCUUUCCAUGUUGUUCUUGGGAUUGAUUGUUUUCUUUCUAUUGCUUUCUAUGUGCAUAUCACUUUUUUUAGGCAUAAAAAAAACAGCUAGUCUUAAAUUGAGUUGAAUGUAGAAAAACCUUUCAUGUUGUCACCUCUAAUGCUGACUUAGGUGAUAAAGUGUUGGCUGGGGUAAUGGAUAUUAGUCUUCGAAUCUUACCCAAAGGAAAUAUUCAAAGAACAAUUUAUCAUGAGCGAGGUGCAUGCAUGUGCAUCUUACGAAUAGAUGUGAUCGUCCAAUUUUCAUUUCUUUGUUUUUAGUAAAUAUCAUUUUCUGAUCUGGAUAUUUUUAGGGCUUGUCUGCUUGCUUUGAUUGGUUUUGACUUUUCAUAAACACACACAUACUACUAGUGGGGGGUCAUGUGUUGCAUAUGAGGUUAUAUAUUGCACUAAAAAUGGGAAAAAAAAAUAUUUGCGAUGGUUUACCAAUUUAACAUUUAAGUCCUAGAAUUUUUUCCUUCUAUAUGGGAACUCAACCUGUUCAUGUCCCUAUUUAUUUUGAGAAAGAGUAUAAUUCAGUAAAUCAUAAAUGUACAAUUGUUGGUCAUUCCAUCUGUUAAAAGGGACUGUAAAAAUUAUACAACUGAUGAAGUGGGCCAUAGAAUCCAGGCUCCAAAAUAAUUUCAUCAUUCUUCAUAUUACGAUAUAUUUAAUUUAUUUUUCUACCAUUAUAACAACUGGAGACAUUUUUUUAUUGCUUAGAAAAAGUUUUAUCUCAAAGCUUAAAAUAUUAUGGAAAUAUGGUUUAAAAAAUCAAUCUGAUUAAACUUUUACACUGCGGAUAAUGCGCUGUUCAAAAUUGUUGUGUGUGGGAUUUUAAGUACUACCUUUUAGAAAUAGGAAUCAGAACUAUGACUUGUGGUUUAUAUGUGUUGAUAUGAUUUAUUUGUAUGAGAGUGAAUUUAUUAAACAGAAGGGAGCAGAGCUCUAAACGAGGUAACAUCAUAACACGGCAGAGAAUCAGAACAAUCAAGGACAAUGAUGCUUAAAACAAAUAAAAGAGAAAAGAACAGCUCAGAGCAGCAAGUUUCAGUGAAGCAACCAUCCAUCAAAUACCACCAUCGCCCACAUCCUAUGGACAUCAAUUUUGGCCUUCAGGAGAAAGUAUAUUGAGCUGUGGAAUGCAACACCCUCAUUAUGUUGUGAAGUGAGUUUUGUUUUUUGGAAAUAUAGUCUUCUUCAUAGCAUAGGCUUGGUGGAACCUUCUUGGCUUGGCUUUUUUUCUGUUUUAUUUUAUUACUUUGGUGGGUUUUCAUAUCAAAGUAGACAUGAAUGUUUCUUAUCAAAUGUUUUGAAUUUUUGUUGUGUUAAUUUUGGUACUAUUCUUUGGCAAAAAUAUUGGAAAAUUUACCA